UGCUUGAUUCAGAAAGGCCAUUUCAGCAAACCUUUUUGCAGUUGAAUUGCUAACGUCCAGGCGUGUGUGUGUGUGCAUGUGUUUUCCAUGCACACCGCACAGAUUUUUUUGAUUAUGUAGAUUUUCCCCCCACUGCAGUUUCAUAUGCAAAGCAUGCAUCAGCCAUAUCCAUGCUAUCUCCUAAAGCAGUCGUUCUGAAACCCAAUCUGAGGACAGUACAGACUAAAUAAAAUUUCAUUUUGAUUUGGCCUCCCGCUGAGAAUGGGACUGCUUUGUUUCAGCCGACAGAACAAGGAAGCCAGAAAGAUCUUUGUCUAAGUGUUUCCAAGCCAUCCUGCUGGGAGAAUACUCUUUCAAGUCUACAGGUUCCUUAAUAUUUACUAAAACAGCCUACCCUUUUUCUUCUUUUUUGAGGGGCUGUCAUCACUACUGGAAAUGUUCUCCACAAUCUACAGCAUCUUUUACCCAGCUCUGAGUGAGAGGAGAUUAAUGGCAAGUUAAUGGCAAUCUACAGAUGUAGAUAUACACCCUUCCCACACUCCCUGUACUGCUGUUUUUAUAAAAGAUGAAAGCUACUGCUGAAAGGAGGCAAGGCAACUCUUCACAACCACUAUACUUGAUUUCAUUGUGUAGCAUCAACAAACACAUGAAGAUUAUAAUUAACUGUGGAGAACAGUAAUCAUGGAGUACACUGCCUUUGCACUUAUUCGCAAUAAUUUCAAAAGCACGUAAGAAAGAAUUUAGUGUGCAGUUUAGCACUAUGUGAAAGUGCUGAUGUUUGAUCAGAUCUUCUCUCCUGCUCUUGGUCAAUGUUAUUCAAAAGGAUUCCAGAUGAGGGGCAGAGGCUUUCAUCCAAAUAUGAGAGAAUACCAGUAACUCUUAAUGUUUAUGCUUCAUGGAUUAAGUUUAAUGUCCUGAUAAUAAAUAACAUUUUAAAAUAGUAGACAUUUGAGCUAGUACUGUUCAACAUGGAGCUGAUGUCAAAGUGUCAUUCAAAGCAAAAUUAAACAGUGUAAGAUCUGUUUUGGGGUAAACUUUUUGGAGAGGAGGUAGUAUUUUUUUAUAUAUAUAGGCCUGGAGUUUUCUGAAGGAAUGGUAUGGAUUCAUUAGAUGUUUAAAGGAUUGAGAAUUUUGUCCUGUGGUUUCUUCACUAACCAAAGUUACUUGUUCUAACCUUGACAGACACUUAAUAGAAUACUUGGGGUAAAUUAUUCUUGCAUAGCCCAGGAGCACAUUGACACUACCAAAUUAUAGUAUUAUUAGUAUACUUCAAUGGCAAUGGUUCUAUUCCAUGGAAUCCUAAGAUGGUCAGUUAAGGAAGAAAACUUUUGAAUUUUCAGCCAGAGUGUUAUAUCCCAGCCACCUUUGGGUUCUGAACCUGGUUCAGAAAUGAACUUUGACCAGGAUGAAGCUUACUCUGACUUUUCACCCAUUUCUCCUCCGAGUUCCUUCCAAUUACAGUUGGGGAGCUGUGGAUAGCUCCGAGGCUUCCUUAAUUGGGAGAGAUACUGAUAACAUUACUCCCAUGGAAGAACCAGAUGUUCCAAGCUCCCCAGGGAAUGUAUCCUUUAACAGAAGACAGUUUUUGCAGCAACAAAGAUCCCAGACACAGCAGCUUCGCAGGAGUCAACGAUUGGCAUCUAGAGGAGAUACUGGAUAGCAGAUUGCUUUGGGAACCUUUGGGGAGUUGGGUUCCCUUCGCUGUUAUUAGAUCUAACUUCUAUAAAAGUGUCUUGCACUGUGAGCCAGUUGUGGUGUCAACGUAGCGACUUCACCGUUUCCAGUUCCCUGAUUUUCAAGCCAAGUCUCAUGCUUCCUGGUGGCCAAGCUGAGCCGCAACUCCCGUUUUAAUCCGGAGUGAAUUCACGUCCUUGCCUUGUUCCUGAAUCCAGAUUGCUUUUAGGUUCGUCUUUUGCCUGCCUUGAAAUCCAAGACUUUCUAGUGACUUUGGACUUUGUUAUUUACUCCUGCUUUCUUGUUGUUUCCCCACUCAAGAACUUUUCAUCAGUUUUGAGCAUGUUUCGGUUUCUGGACUUUGGACAAUAAUAUUGGACAUAUCUCUUCAAUGCUUUGGACUAAUUCAUACCAAUCCUUAAAGGACUAUUGCUCACUCAUCCUUUCCACUUAUUCUUUCCUGAAUUUAUUAUUGUUUUAAUAAAGAUAUUAUAUGAUUA